ensembl:snRNA U6 U6 spliceosomal RNA
GUGAUCAUUUCUUAACAAUUACUUUAUCAUAUGGGGAUGAUACAGAGAAGAUUAGCAUAACCCCUACGCAAGGAUGACAUGCAAAUUCAUGAAUUGUUCCAUAAAAAA